GACGAACGCUGGCGGCGUGCUUAACACAUGCAAGUCGAACGGGCCUGUCUUCUUUUUUGGGGGUGGGUUGAGUGGCGAACGGGUGAGUAUCACGUGAGUAACCUGCCCUUCGGUCCUGGAUAACCGCUUGAAAGGGCGGCUAAUACGGGGUGGUCCGGUUGGUCCGCAUGGGCUGGUCGGGAUAGAUUCACUGUUUUUGGUGUUUCGGCGGGGGAUGGGCUCGCGGCCUAUCAGCUUGUUGGUGGGGUGAUGGCCUACCAAGGCGGUGACGGGUAGCCGGGAUGAGAGGGUGGGCGGCCACACUGGGACUGAGAUACGGCCCAGACUGCUGCGGGAGGCAGCAGUGGGGGGUAUUGCACAAGGGGCGGAAGCCUGAUGCAGCGACGUCGCGUGAGGGAUGGAGGCCUUCGGGUUGUGAACCUCUGUUUCCGGUGGUGAAGGCCCUGUCCGUGUGGUGGGGUUGACGGUAGCCGGGGAUGAAGCGCCGGCUAACUACGUG
rnacentral:rRNA from 1 species